AGUGGUGGUAGUGGUGGUGUAGUAGUGCCAUCUAGUGUUGGUGUAGUAGUGCCAUCUAGUGGAGGUAGUCAAGUAAGAGUUAGUCAGGUUAUCAGUGAUGGUGUUAUAGUGAAGGUCAGGACAGUGACCAACCUCAAGGGCACUAAAGGUCAGUUGAACUUCAGUGGUCGUACAGAAUGGGCGUGUUGCUCCUCCUCCUGCCAACCCCCGCCGGCUUUACCGCUUCCUCAUCCUUUUAAUACACCUAAAUAACGUGUGGUAACUGAGGAGUGCUGUGCCUGGCUGUGUCUGCUGCAACAUUGAUCAACACAGCAACUUUGACCAGUCUGAGGGGUGGAGACAACCACAUUAGUAAAUGGUCUGACCCAUAACAUAGUGUUAUAUGGAGAUGCAGCAGUUGGAGACGUCGUUAGAGGUGGGCAGGGCCCACUUGUAAGAAUCCUGACAAUUAAGACAACACUGAAGACAAGAGGUGAUCACAAUAACCUGUGUUAGACUUGUGCACGUGGAAGUGUUUGCAGUGAAGAUAGUGUUGUACAUGACUGCCCAGCGUCACAACACUUAGCUUUA